rnacentral:rRNA from 1 species
CCUGGUGGCAAUAGCGCUGUGGAACCACCUGACUCCAUUCCGAACUCAGAAGUGAAACGCAGCCGCGACGAUGGUAGUGUGGCAGAUGC